GCCUCUUGAUUAAACCAUAAGAGGUCCAGCCUGCCCAGUGACAUUGUUCAACGGCCGCGGUAUCCUAACCGUGCGAAGGUAGCGUAAUCACUUGUCCUUUAAAUGAAGACCAGUAUGAAUGGCCCCACGAAAGCUUUACUGUCUCCUUUUUCUAAUCAGUUAAACUAAUCUCCCCGUGAAGAAGCGGGGAUAAACAUAUAAGACGAGAAGACCCUAUGGAGCUUCAAACAACUGAAACACUUGUAUAUCCUCCCUCCACCUGCCCACAUUUAACCCCACAUUUUGUUUCUAGUUUUAGGUUGGGGUGACCACGGAGAAAAAACUAACCUCCACGACGAAAGAAACAUUUCUAAACAAAAAGCUACAUCUUUAUGUAUUAACACAUUAACCUCUAUUGACCCAAUAAAUUGAUCAACGAACCAAG
rnacentral:rRNA from 1 species